rnacentral:tRNA from 4 species
UUCUUUGGGUGUGUAGGCGAAGCCUCAAAACUUAUUCUUAUAAAGAUUAUAUUGAGUUCAGAUGUCAAUCAUUCAAAGA